rnacentral:lncRNA from 1 species
CUCCCAAAAAAAAAAAAAAAAAAAAAAACACACACAAGACUCGAGCUGACAGCGAGGCCACUCUGAAAGCAAAGGACUCUCCGUUCUCACACACUAUAUAAACACCAUGGGAAAAGGUGGGAGCGAUGACUGGGCAAAGAAUCACCCUGAUACGACGCAAAACCAGCCUCCGUCAUACUCUGAAGCGACCCAAAGCCAGCCUCCACCCUACGCAGAGACAGAGAGAGGAGCCAAAAAAAGCUCCAAGACCAAGUGUCCCACAUGCUGCAUCAAGUUCAAGAACUGCCUGAUGAGCCCGGAGUGCGGAAGGUGUCUUCAGAUCUCUCAAGUCAUCGCCUUCUGUGGAUCAUGUAUUCGCAUGUGGAUGUAACCAUGGACUGGACUGGGAUCAACUUUAAUCAACUUCUCUAACGCAAGCCACACUCUGCACUUCACUUUUUUUUUUAGUUAGUGACAUUUGAAAGGUCUUUACAAUCGAUAAAUCAAUCACUGAUGUACAUGAAUAUUACCUGUGGAAGAAAACAUGAAGAAAAAAACAUGUAGAUAUAUUUAUGGCAGUAUUUUUUUUUAAGGCCAAAUUUAGGCUUUAUUUAAUGUUUACAUUCUAUUAUGUCUUUCUUAUAAUUUUUUUGUGGACAACUGUUUUUUAUUGAUUUUUCCUUAAUUGUAUUGUAUAUAUAUAUAAUCAAAAUAAUCAUAUUUUUUUAAAUGUAUCUUGCAAUAGUUAAUUGUUAUUGUGUUUAUUAGAUAGUACAACUCGUUGUUUAAUGAGAAAUAAAUGCAAUAUAAUAAAAACGUACA